AGUGAACGCUGGCGGUAGGCCUAACACAUGCAAGUCGAACGGCAGCACAGUAAGAGCUUGCUCUUACGGGUGGCGAGUAGCGGACGGGUGAGGAAUACAUCGGAAUCUACUUUUUCGUGGGGGAUAACGUAGGGAAACUUACGCUAAUACCUCAUACGACCUACGAGUGAAAGCAGGGGAUCUUCGGACCUUGCGCGCUCGAAUGAGCCGAUGUCGGAUUAGCUAGUUGGCGGGGUAAAGGCCCACCAAGCAGGCGAUCGUUACCUGGUCUGGGAGGAUGAUCAGCAACACUGGACUUGAGACACGGUCCAGACUCCACCGGGAGGAAGAGGUGGGGAACAUUGGCCAAAGGGCGCAAGCUUGCUCCAGCCAUACGGCGUGGUUGAAGAAGUCCUUCGGGUGUUAAAGCCCUUUUGUUGGGAAAGAAAAGCAGCAGGGUAAUACCCCGCUGUUCUGACGGUACCCAAAGAAUAAGCACCGGCUAACUUCGUG
rnacentral:rRNA from 1 species